CAGUAGCUCAACUGGACAGAGCAUGGGAUUUCUAAUCCUUUGGUUGGGGGUUCAAGUCCUCUCU
rnacentral:tRNA from 1 species